ACCCUUAGAUGUCCUGGGCCGCACGCGCGCUACACUGACAUGUUCAACAAGCCUCCUAGUUCGACAGGAUUUGGGAAAUCUUUGAACGCAUGUCGUGAUAGGGAUAGAUCAUUGCAAUUAUUGAUCUUGAACGAGGAAUUCCCAGUAAACGCGAGUCAUCAGCUCGCAUUGAUUACGUCCCUGCCCUUUGUACACACCGCCCGUCGCACCUACCGAUUGAAUGUUUCGGUGAAGAUUCCGGAUAGGACUUUUUUGAUUUAUUUCAAUUUUGUCUUAAAAGCUAUCUAAACCUCAACAUUUAGAGGAGGGUGAAGUCGUAACA
rnacentral:rRNA from 1 species